UCAGCAGUCACUAGACUACUCUCCCUCUAAACACUGGAAUACUUUCACUUCCCUUUUCUCCAUCCCUACAUUACAUCUUUUCUUUUUUCUUUUCUCUUUUUUAGUCCGAACAAUUUACUUCUCCUACACAUUUCUUGUUCUUUUACUCCGAUAAAUAAAUAAAAUGAGUUUAAAACUGCUAUUGCCCGCCUCCCUCUCUCAAACCCUAAUACUAAUUCCAACCACCAAACCCGCCGCUCCUCCCCCUCACCUCUCCGAUCCCCAACGCCUUGGCUGCUCGCCGCCAUCAUCGUCCAGCGUUCUGCCUCCCUUUGGCUCCGCGAUGCCUCCUACUGGAUCCUCCCCCCCCCCUCAAUCCCAUGCGCCGCGCCACUACGCCCUCGCCCUUCUCCUCCACAACCUCUCCAAUUCCCUCUCCGACGACCAGGUUAUGUCCUUCGCCACCUCUCGCGGUUGCCCUUCCUCCGCUUUCUACCUUCAACCGCUGGCCCCAAGGCAUUUUUGCCUUCUACCAACCCCACCACCUUCUUUCUUCUUUCUCUACCCCCCUCCACUUCCCUUUUUUCGAACGGUUCUACGUUGGCAUUUUCUUUUCAAUGCUUAUUAGAUAGAGCUGUAUUGAUUCCCCCCCCCCCCGGGGAUGAGUUAAUGAUUUUCCCAGCGUUCAUCCCCCCCCUCUUUGUAUGUAGACUAAGAGGCCAAAUGAUGUUCUUUAUUGAGUUGAAUGCCCGAAAUAUUUUUGGGUUUCGUGAUUCUUCUCUGAAUAGGAAGAUCUGAUGUCCCUCUCUCCCCAUUGACUUGUGAUAUAACGACCUACGUUAUGUGAAUUUUCUGCUCUGCUCCGAGCUUAGAUUUCUGAAAAUCAAUGCUUGGGGAGCUUAUUCCCUUUAUCAACGUUAAGCCUGCUAUUUUUCGCUACCCUAUGCCUGCUAUUUAUUGAUCCUUCGUAUGUUUGGUUUUCCUGUUUCUAGACUGUGGGAGCCUAUGUUGCGAGCUUAUGUAGUUGUGUAAUGAACUGGGAGAGGAAGAUAAGUGCAUGUGUUCAAAGCAAAAUCUUUUCAUGGUUUGCUGGAGAGUUGAAACACAUCCUGUUUAUGCUUUAGAAAAGGCUCUUGGUGGGAAGAGCUGUUAAUCUUUCCUAUUGUAGGGUAUCUCAGUAAUGGCUUUUGACGGUAUACUUUGCGUGGUACUCAGCUUGAUUCUAUUGUACUGAUUCUAAUAGAAGAGAAGCCGUAGAGAUAUCUAACUGUGCGUCUGGUUCUGAGGUUGAGGAGGGGUAAAGCACAAUACACAAUGGGGUGGAUAAAGAUUUUGCUUUUCAGUUCUGGAUUAAAGGCAACAUUAAGUCAUGUUUGUUGAUAUACUAAUUAUUUUGUUUGAGUUUGGGGAGGCGGGUGGACUUUUUGAACGUCUGGUUCUUUCCAACAGUAAAGAUGCUGUCAAGAGCUGGCAAUUAUCCACCUGUAAAUAUCUGAGAGUGGCAGUUUGCAACUUGCCGUAGGCUUAUCUUUUGUCGGCAAGGACUAUUCAUGGACUUGUGCAUAUGAACUUGUGUUACUGCAGUUUACUGUCUUGUAUUGUCAAUACCCAGUGGAAACUAUUUUCUGUAUCAUCAUACUUGAAUCCUAGAGAGGUGUUAGGGCUUGACAGCAUUGGAUGUGCGGCGAAGUUUAUAACCUUGUACUGGUUUCUUGCAUCCUUUGUUUGAAUUAGAUGUACAGAUUGGAUCUGACUAUA